UCUUUCUAUUGAUGGAAAUGGAAUAUUACAAAAUGAGAAAAGUUCCCUCUAAUGGGGUGGUUACAAGUUAUUUAUACUACUCUCUACUAGGACUAAUAUGCUAUUAAUCUAUAUCUCUAAUAGUCCCCCUCAAGUUAGAAGGUGUUCAAAAACACUUCCAACUUGAAAUGAGAAAGUACAAGGAAAGAUGUUGGAAAUACAUUGGCCAAGAACAUAGCAACAAUCAAAUGCUUAUCCAACAAGAGGAAACCACAACUCAAGGUGUAAUCACUUGGAGGAAGAAGCAACAAACCAACGCUUAACCACCAUCCGGUAGAAGCCAAU
rnacentral:lncRNA from 1 species